rnacentral:rRNA from 1 species
ACACGCUACAAUGGUCUGUACAAUGGGUAGCCAAGCCGCGAGGCGGAGCCAAUCCUGAAAAGCCAAGGCCUCAGUUCAGAUUGCAGUCUGCAACUCGACUGCAUGAAGCCGGAGUUGCUAGUAACCGCAGGUCAGCAAUACUGCGGUGAAUACGUUCCCGGGUCUU